CAUUUUUCCUGCUUUAGUGUUUUGGAAUUGAGUCAAACUGAGUAACAACUUCAGUUGUGUGCUGUGAUCCCCACAAUUACCUUCUUCCAGGACAAAUUUAGGUAUGUGUACAUUCUAGAACGGUGAGUGAGGUGGGAGAAAACACCACUUCAUCACCAGCAAUCAGGUCUUUGGUGAGAUUUCUUACUAUCAGUAUUAUUCUUGCAGAAAACACACACAGAAUCUGUCAGUAACAAGAACAGGAUUAUCAUGAAGGGAAAAUUGGCCAGAUGGAUGGUGGUGAAGAGGAACUAGAGAAAACACAGACAAAAGAAACUACCUUAAGAAAGAAACGCAACUUUCUGGCAUGGCUUGGUUGAGCCCAUCAUCUCGGUUACUUUGCUGGUCUUGGGAUUGCAGAGGGAAAAAGAUAUGGUUUAGCUCCAGGAGCUCAGCGUCUAGAGAUGGCUCCUCCAACCUAACCUUACAGGUCCAUGACUGUCUUCAAAUAUACCGGAA
rnacentral:lncRNA from 1 species